CGCGUAGGCGGCGGACCUUGUCGAGUGUGAAAGCCCCGGGCUCAACCUGGGAGGUGCGCUCGAAGCGGGUUUGCUGGAGUUCGGGAGAGGAGCGUGGAAUUCCCAGUGUAGAGGUGAAAUUCGUAGAUAUUGGGAAGAACACCGGUGGCGAAGGCGGCGCUCUGGACCGAGACUGACGCUGAGGCGCGAAAGCGUGGGGAGCAAACAGGAUUAGAUACCCUGGUAGUCCACGCUGUAAACGAUGUGUGCUAGACGUUGGGGAGCGCAGCUCUUCGGUGUCGCAGCAAACGCUUUAAGCACACCGCCUGGGGAGUACGGCCGCAAGGUUAAA
rnacentral:rRNA from 1 species